GAUGAACGCUAGCGGCAGGCCUAACACAUGCAAGUCGAGGGAGAGGUUACCUUCGGGUAACCAAAACCGGCGCACGGGUGCGUAACGCGUAUACAAUCUGCCUUUCACAUAGGGAUAGCCCGAAGAAAUUUGGAUUAAUACCUAAUGGUAUAUAAGAGCGGCAUCGUUUUUAUAUUAAAGCUACGGUGGUGAAAGAUGAGUAUGCGUUCUAUUAGCUAGUUGGAGAGGUAACGGCUCCCCAAGGCGACGAUAGAUAGGGGUUCUGAGAGGGAUGUCCCCCACACUGGUACUGAGAUACGGACCAGACUCCUACGGGAGGCAGCAGUGAGGAAUAUUGGACAAUGGUCGGAAGACUGAUCCAGCCAUGCCGCGUGCAGGAUGAAGGUCCUAUGGAUUGUAAACUGCUUUUGUAAGGGAAGAAUAAGGAGUACGUGUACUUUGAUGACGGUACCUUACGAAUAAGCAUCGGCUAACUCCGUG
rnacentral:rRNA from 1 species